rnacentral:pre_miRNA from 1 species
AGGUAUUAAUAGCCCGGUGGCAGAGUCGUAACUGUCACCAGGAGAUUAAUAUGCUU